rnacentral:rRNA from 1 species
UAGUCAACAUGCCCAAAGGACGUGGAUAACCUCGGGAAACUGAGGAUAAACCGCGAUAGGCCAAGGCUUCUGGGAUGAGCCAUGGCCGAAUUCUAUAUGGCCUUUGGAUUGGACUGCGGCCGAUCAGGCUGUUGGUGAGGUAAUGGCCCACCAAACCUGUAACCGGUACGGGCUUUGAGAGAAGUAGCCCGGAGAUGGGCACUGAGACAAGGGCCCAGGCCCUAUGGGGCGCAGCAGGCGCGAAACCUCUGCAAUAGGCGAAAGCCUGACAGGGUUACUCUGAGUGAUGCCCGCUAAGGGUAUCUUUUGGCACUUCUAAAAAUGGUGCAGAAUAAGGGGUGGGCAAGUCUGGUGUCAGCCGCCGCGGUAAUACCAGCACCCCGAGUUGUCGGGACGAUUAUUGGGCCUAAAGCAUCCGUAGCCUGUUCUGCAAGUCCUCCGUUAAAUCCACCUGCUCAACGGAUGGGCUGCGGAGGAUACCGCAGAGCUAGGAGGCGGGAGAGGCAAACGGUACUCAGUGGGUAGGGGUAAAAUCCAUUGAUCUACUGAAGACCACCAGUGGCGAAGGCGGUUUGCCAGAACGCGCUCGACGGUGAGGGAUGAAAGCUGGGGGAGCAAACCGGAUUAGAUACCCGGGUAGUCCCAGCUGUAAACGAUGCAGACUCGGUGAUGGGUUGGCCUCGAGCCAACCCAGUGCCGCAGGGAAGCCGUUAAGUCUGCCGCCUGGGGAGUACGGUCGCAAGACUGAAACUUAA